AAUUAAGAGUCUUCGUCUGAUCAUGGAAUAUCUUUCAAACAUUUUUCAGCAACUUUAAAAAGAAAUGCUUUAAGAGAAAUGUGUGGGGUUCUAAUUACUGAAUUUUCAGUAUGUCUAUGUUGUGUUUUGUACACUGGUGUUUGUCCGUUAUUUGUCAUUGUGUUGUAAGUUGGGAUCGGCUUAUCUCUUUAGAAUCUUCAGCCUCUAAUGUAACUUUAUUGUAACCAUUUUCAUAUUUCCAAUCGAACGUCGGGCAUUUUUGUAUUUUUUCCUGUAAAACCUCCGGAAUCAUUUCGAUAAUAUUGUCGUUUGAGACGGAGAUAUAGUUAAUGUAUUUUAUAAUAUAAUGACUUACCAUAAUCAUAAUGCACCCACCAAC
rnacentral:lncRNA from 1 species